UUGGUGGAAGUUUACAUGGUAAUGUACAUCAUAUAUUUUUUUUAGUUUUAUCAUUCUCUUAUUUUAGAAGUUACAGGGGGGGGGGGACACACAUUUUACCACUUUGGAAGUGUCUCUCGCGCAAACUAUUCAGUUUAGAAAAAAAUGAUAUUAGAAACCUCAAUAUCAUUUUUGAAGACCUAUCCAUAGAUACCCCACACGUAUGGGUUUGAUGAAAAAAAAAUUUUUGAAAUAAGAGAAUGAUAAAACUAAAAAAAAAUAUGAUUUACAUUGCCAUGCAAACUUCCACCGAAAAUUGGUUUGAACGAGAUCUAGUAAGUAGUUUUUAUUUAAUACGUCAUAAA